AUUACGCCAGCAUCCUAGCCGAAGCGCGGACCUCAGUCCCGGCUGGCCGUAUUACACCCUGGGCUAUAACACCUCCACCGAAGUGGAGGCCACAUUCCCAGAGCCUUUAUCCGGCCGCCGAAACUGAUGCUGGCCUGUCCAAACUGAGUAAACCGGUCAGAAGACCGGCCGAACAGUUUAAACAAGUCUGAUUGCAAGCGCUUCCCUUUCAACAAUUUCACGUGCUUUUUAACUCUCUUUCCAAAGUGCUUUUCAUCUUUCGAUCACUCUACUUGUGCGCUAUCGGUCUCUCGCCAAUAUUUAGCUUUAGAAGAAAUUUACCUCCCAUUUAGAGCUGCAUUCCCAAACAACUCGACUCGUCGAAGGAGAUUUACAUAGGGUGCCAUUUCCUGUCACAUACGGGAUUCUCACCCUCUAUGACGUCCUGUUCCAAGGAACUUAGACAGGCGGCUUCCCCAAAUCAUCCUCUACAAAUUACAAUGCGAACCCGAAGGCUAGCUUUCAAAUUUGAGCUGUUGCCGCUUCACUCGCCGUUACUAGG
rnacentral:rRNA from 1 species